AGUGAACGCUGGCGGCGUGCCUAAUACAUGCAAGUCGAACGGAGUGGCGGACGGGUGGGUAAUGUAUAGCUAAUCUGCCCUACACUAGAGGACAACAGUUGGAAAGGCUGCUAAUACUCUAUAGUGUAGGAUGAGGGUAUAUUGUAUCAGCUAGUUGGUGAGGUAAUGGCUCACCAAGGCUAUGACGCAUAACUGGUCUGAGAGGAUGAUCAGUGACACUGGAACGGAGACACGGUCCAGACUCCUACGGGAGGGAGCAGUAGGGAAUAUUGCACAAUGGGGGAAACCCUGAAGCAGCAACGCCGCGUGGAGUAUGACACUUUUCGGAGCGUAAACUCUUGUUGUUAGGGAAGCGGUACCUAACGAAUAAGCACCGGCUAACUACGUGCCAGCAGCCGCGGUAAUUC
rnacentral:rRNA from 1 species